rnacentral:lncRNA from 1 species
GACUUCAGUCAGCACAGUGUCUGGAGACCUUGUUGAUAUAAGACACAAUAUGGAAGUGAAGCCAUUAAAUCAAGCAGGGUCUGCAACUGUCAUACUGCUAUUUGAAAUGUUAUUGAGACCAGUGAGGAGGAGGACAGAAUACUCCAGCUGUAGGACUCUGCACUUGCCUUCAUUGAACCUCAUCUGGAUCCUCUCUGCUGAGCUCUCCAGCCUGUCCAGGUCUUGCUGAAUGGCAGCACAGCCUUCUGGUAAAGCUCAGUCACUGAAUCUGUCUACUCCUUCUCCCAUCUCUGCAGCUCCCCUCCCCUCUGACACUCAAAGCCAAGGCAUGAAGUUACAUCUCUCUAUUUCUUCCAUCAGUUAUUGUGGUAUGUGAGUUCCACUAAGACAUGGGCACGUUCCAAAAAUAACACGCAAAUAAGGACUUCUGUGUUUUCAAGGCCUGACCCAAAAUAUUUAUCUAUCGAGAAGUUGAAAUUCUCACGAGCAAUGGGCGAAGUUUGGAGGAGAGGAGAUCUGCAGCAAGCCUGCUCAUAACACUGAAUCUGAAGCAAGAAGUACUAUAGCAUAAAGAAUAAAGGCUAAACCAUAAACAAAAUGUCAGUAGAAAUCUAUGUGUUAAUAUUAUAACUCACAUCAAUCAUUUUUGUAUUAGAAAGAAGUGAUAAUCAAAGCAUAGGUGUUUAUAGGGAUUACUACAAAUUCUUGAAUGAUUUAUUACUGCCAGCACAGUAAUGAAUUGCUUAUGGUAAACCGGGGAUUCACAGUUUCCCAGAAGGAGUAUUCCCCCACAACAGGAUACAAAUAAUUCCCAUUGACUUCAGCGCUUUUCCUGCUGUGAAGAACUAUUAAUUUAUUGGCUCUGGUGCCAAUUUGAAUUUGCAUCAGGAAAAUGAAAUCCUAAAGAAACAAAUUAAGAAUGCCUGUCUAUUUCUUAAAUCUAUUUCAAAUAUUCCUCUCCCUUAGUUGGAAGGAAAAAAAAAAUCUACUUAAAUCAAACUCCUCUACAGAGACCCAAAAUUCUAACAUCAACUAUAAACAAAAAUACAUGGUCAGUAUAGAGCAGAAGGGGCAAUUAAAGCCCUAAGGAGCUGAAAGAUUUGUCAUGAAAGUAAUUGUUUGUUAGCUGGUGAAAUCUGUCCAGGAGACACACAUUUUACAAACAAGAUGCCUUCACCCUGCGGAUGCACAUAGGUGCACACUCCCUCACCAACUUGCAUAGUCACCUCGCUGAAAUUAUGUAUUUGUUUCAUUUAUCAGACAAGAGCAAGUGCAUUAAAAAAAAAUCAACCCAAAUAGUAGAUUCUUCCUUCUGCUAGGCAUGUGUGUACACACCCAUCCUGCCCAUCUGUAUCACUUGUCUGACAAUUUACCUGGUGCACAAAAAAAAAAAGAAAAACUCUUUGAGAACCAUAUGUGGAGAAAAAUCAUUGCUUUCAAGGAGACAUAAAUGGUAAUAUUUAAGACCAGCAGAUGGACAAUCAGAGAACUACUGGCAUACCUCAUUAGUUAUCUGAGAUUUCCACUGUAGGAAAGUGCUUUCAAGAGAUCAAUGAAAUGUGCACGUUUGGUAGCUGAGUGAACAGGACUGGUGUAUAUUUCUUACCUCCUCCUUGCAGACAUCUGGAUGGGGUGCCACUUGAUGACAGGAGACACAACCAGAGAACUUACUCCAGCACGGUGACUAAAAUGGAAGGAGAUUCUACUGCAAUAUUCACUGGAAUGGCAGCACUGAAGAAAUCACUCCUGGAAAAAACAAGAAUUAUUACAUUACUCUCAGACAUCCUAGAAGGACUAAAGAUAUCAGUGAAACUAUCAGCACAGGUUAGGGAACAAAUACGGAAAGGCAGGAAAAGAGGGCUUUUAAUCAGGAAGAAAAUGCAUGUAGUAUUCUCCAAACUUAAAUCAGAAGUUUUGUACGUGAUGCAGGAUUUAGGUUCAGAUGAGCCUUUCCAAGUUAAUGGAGAUGCACAAAACUGAGUAAAAUAUGGAAAUAAAUCCUUGUAAAAGUCACCUCUAUGAAGCAAAUUAGAACUAUGCAACAGAUUUGUUACUUUCAACCUCCCAUAUAAAAACAAGAAGUCUUGUGCUUGACAUCCCCAACAUGUACCAUCAUGUCUCUGAUUGUACUAGUAAAGUCAGAUGAGUUCCAUCUUCAAUAAAUUGAUGGGAGGAUUGUAUUAUGAUAAAGCAGUUCAAAACUACCACAGAAAUAUUACGCCAAGCUGGAAAGAGAAUAUUGAAUAUUCUCACUGAAUAUUCAGUACCUUAUAUGCUAGCAGGACAGUUCAGGAACAGAGCAUUUAAUCUAUAGACUUAUUUCCCUUUUAAGGAAACCCCAAAAGAUCUAACAGUUAGCACGUAAACAAGAUUAUAAGCAAUGCAUUUGCUGGAGUUGGUUUGCACUUGUUGAAGAAAGCAGGGACACCCCUUAUAACUAAAUAACAAAGGUUUUGCUGGACAGAGAUGAAGUAAACAUGCAGUUUUGUAAAGUACUUAAAAGGGAGCUGGGAACAAAGUGAGGCCUCAUCCUCCAUUUUUAAUGUUUUUUGAAACACCUGCCAUUCAGUUAGCUCCUAAACCCCCAAAAUAAAGCAUCCCUUCAAAGCAUUUUCAUGGGCCCUAAGGCCAGGCAAUUGCUGAUCUGGAUGAGUCGAGAGCAUCUACUACAGAGGAAACAACAGCAGGAAGUGGGGAAUUCAUCUCAGAUUUCCUCUAACUUUACUGGUUGACUGUUAAUAGGGAAACCCCACCUACAUAUCUUAUAGGGUCAGAACCAUAACUGGAGGCUAUAGGGCAUACAGCUUCGCAAUCAUUCCAUUACAGUAAGAAUGUAUGUUUCCAGCUAAGUUCACAAACAAUGCUGAAUAGCUACUCAGAAGAAGAUUAACAGGACCUCCCACUUCAUGGAAACAGUGACUGUUUACAUAAUAUGUAAUGACAGUAAAUCAUAACAAAUCCUAGGAGAAAACUCCAGUGAGAGACAAAAUAACAAGACCAUCUGAUUUUAUUUCUUUUCCCAGUCUAACAAUCCACGUCCCUGUCCUGUAAGGAUUUCUUUAUAUACUUAGCUUUCAGCACAUCUGUAACGCCACAGACUUCAAUUAGUCUAAUUAAGUGCAAAAAGAAAAAGUGUGCACAUAAGGGCGUGACCUUUUUUCCCCCCUUUGUUUAUUCAGUGAUUAAUGGGGUAAAAUCCCUCUUGAUAGCUUGACUUCCCUUUCGCUUUGACACAAAUAACGCUAUACUUUCCACUUUGCAAGGUUAAGCAAUUAGCAUUCUAAAAACAGGGCUGAUAUAAAGUAGCACCACUAUUGAUCUCCAUUACUAUGCUGAGCUAGACCAGCUGAGGAUCUGACCCUGCCUAAAAUGGUAAUUUGUAGCGUGCAAAGGAGCUAAAACAUAUUUUUGCCAGAUAAAGAUGUGCAAAGGGACAACCAGCUCCUGAAACUCACCUGCCAUUUGAAAUUAGCUGCUAAAUAAUGCCCUGCUUCAGAAAUCCUCAUACAAUAAUUUGCUAUAUUAUAAUUCAACAUAGUUUUCUCAAGACCGACAGAUUGCACUUCUCCCCAGGGAACUCCUGCACUCUCUUUCUGUUUCUGAGUGUGCAAUGGGCAGACCCAUAGUUACACAACCAGAACUCAUUUCCUUAAACUGAACAAUUCUGGUGUAGAUUUUCUGAAAGGACACUCCCGUGAAAAAAUUAUCAAUUCCCUACUAAAGCAAAUGAGGGAAAAAGGAAAGGGGAAAAAACAGGAAAGGGAAAAAAGAUACAGAUGAUAAAAAAGAAAGAAAGAAAGAAAAAAGACAGUCUGUUCCUGAAGCUGUGCAGUAAAAGAAUGCCUGCAUCUACAGGACGAUGUGCCACUUUUAAGGGAAGGGAUUGCCUGUAGCCGAUGCGCGGUGCUAAAUGUCAGCCUGACAGUGGCUGCAGGAAUGCAAAUUCUUCACAUCAGUGCAAGAAGGAAGCAGCACGCAUCCUGGGAGUCGUCUGCAGCCUUCUAUUAGCCCCUCACAACGUGGUUAGAGCGUCCAACAUACUGCUUGGAGAGCGCUCCUGCAGUAUCUCCCCACUUUGGGUUGGAAGUGGGUUCUGGUUGCCUUUUUUCAUAUUACUAGCGAUUUAAGCAUCAAACAAGGAAACAAAAUUCAAAACAAAAUUCUCUCACGUGAACUCACUACAUACACUUCAGCGCUUGCCCAGCUCCCACUCAUACAGCAGCUAAAAGAUCUGGAGGAAAAGAACAGACCUUAAUGACCACGCGUCCCUGCGCUCUGGAGUGUGGGCUACAGCAACUAAUAACAGAUGAAGGUUUACAUGUUUUUCUUGUGUUUCUGCUGGGGUUGCUGUGUCAUUAAUUCAGCCUGUGCUUGACUACUUAUGUUAAACAUUCCCUUUGUGACUUUCUCUAAAUCUUAAAUUUUGCAUGUGACCACAUGUAAAUGUAAAUGUGUAUUUUUAUGGUCCUGUAAUCUCAGUGCUUUUAAAUCCCCGUUGCCUGAAGGCACACAGGGAGCUGAAGCAGAAAAGCUUGGUCAGUUUGUGAUCAUUUAAGCUAGUUUAUUUGCUCUUUCUGAGUAUAUUCAGCUCCUGUAGAGGUUUUUGCCUUUUGUGUAAUAGAGUACAGAUAAGAUCUAGGAACCUAAUUAACCCUGCAGGGCCUGUGAACAAGGCUCAUUAGAAAACAGUCAAACACAUUUAUAUUUGAAUACCUUAUUUACAGGAAUUCAUAUCAUAUUUCUGAACCGCAGAUAUACAUGCCACAUAAUCAUACCUUAACCACUGUAAAACAUUUCCUUAAAUUAAGCUGAAAAGUGCACCAAAUUUGAGCUCAAAGUCAUCUGGAUUAUACAUGUAAAUACCUCGUGCCUUAAUAAAUAAAUAAAUAAAAUAACUCUAAUAAAUGAAAGUUCUGUCUGCAGGACAUUCUAAGCUAUAAUGUCUCUUCACCCACAUCCCCUCCAAAAAAUCCACAUUUCACAAAAUCAGUACUCAUUGCAGCCUGAGCAGAAAACACCACUGUGAAACAAUUUCUCUGGGGAUUUCCCCCUCUGCCCAGGGCAGUGACA